UACGGAGGAGGCAAGCGUUAUCCGGAAUGAUUGGGCGUAAAGCGUCCGCAGGUGGCAGUUCAAGUCUGCUGUCAAAGACCGGGGCUUAACCCUGGAAAGGCGGUGGAAACUGAAGCGCUAGAGUGCGGUAGGGGUAGAGGGAAUUCCCGGUGUAGCGGUGAAAUGCGUAGAGAUCGGGAAGAACAUCGGUGGCGAAAGCGCUCUACUGGACCGCAACUGACACUCAGGGACGAAAGCUAGGGGAGCGAAUGGG
rnacentral:rRNA from 1 species